rnacentral:sRNA from 1 species
GCUGGGCGUGGUGGCGCACGUCUGUAAUCCCAGCUACUUGGGAGGCUGAGGCAGGAGAAUCGCUUGAACCCAGGAGGCGGAGGUUGCAGUGAGCUGAGAUUGCACCACUGCACUCCAGCCUGGGCAACAGAGUGAGACUCCGUCUCAA